AUUGAACGCUGGCGGCAGGCCUAACACAUGCAAGUCGAACGAGUGGCGGACGGGUGAGUAAUGUCUGGGACACUGCCUGAUGGAGGGGGAUAACUACUGGAAACGGUAGCUAAUACCGCAUACCAUCGGAUGUGCCCAUAUGGGAUUAGCUAGUAGGUGGGGUAACGGCUAACCUAGGCGACGAUCCCUAGCUGGGCUGAGAGGAUGACCAGCCACACUGGACCUGAGACACGGUCCAGGCUCCUACGGGAGGCAGGAGUGGGGAAUGUUGGACAAUGGGCGCAAGCCUGAUGCAGCCAUGCCGCGUGUAUGAAGAAGGCCUUCGGGUUGGAAAGUACUUUCAGCGGGGAGGCGUUACCCGCAGAAGAAGCACCGGCUAACUCCGUGCCAGCAGCCGCGGUAUAC
rnacentral:rRNA from 1 species